rnacentral:misc_RNA from 1 species
AACACAAAUUGUACUUUCCAGUAUUCUGGGAAGUAUGCUUGGUUGAGGGUCAUUAAAAUAACAUUCGCGAAUUUUUUUGCGGAUUUGAGUUUUCCAGUAUUUUAUUAAAAAUGUUGGUAACUUUAAAAUUAUUAUUACUUGGUACAAGUUGAAGACGUUCUAUAUGUGUGGUUCGCUGACAACUUGACCAUCAUCAUAUAUUAUGCGCGCACUUGGUUUUUACGCUCUGUGCGAGUAUAUAUUUUUUUUAUGACCUCAGCUCAAGUAAGAAUACCCGCUGAACUUAA